rnacentral:rRNA from 1 species
AACAACGCUUAAAAGAUGGCUUCUCGCUAUCACUUCUGGAUGGACCUGCGGUGCAUUAGCUUGUUGGUGGGGUAACGGCCUACCAAGGCGAUGAUGCAUAGCCGAGUUGAGAGACUGAUCGGCCACAAUGGGACUGAGACACGGCCCAUACUCCUACGGGAGGCAGCAGUAGGGAAUCUUCCACAAUGGGCGCAAGCCUGAUGGAGCAACACCGCGUGAGUGAAGAAGGGUUUCGGCUCGUAAAGCUCUGUUGUUAAAGAAGAACACGUAUGAGAGUAACUGUUCAUACGUUGACGGUAUUUAACCAGAAAGUCACGGCUAACUACGUGCCAGCAGCCGCGGUAAUACGUAGGUGGCAAGCGUUAUCCGGAUUUAUUGGGCGUAAAGAGAGUGCAGGCGGUUUUCUAAGUCUGAUGUGAAAGCCUUCGGCUUAACCGGAGAAGUGCAUCGGAAACUGGAUAACUUGAGUGCAGAAGAGGGUAGUGGAACUCCAUGUGUAGCGGUGGAAUGCGUAGAUAUAUGGAAGAACACCAGUGGCGAAGGCGGCUACCUGGUCUGCAACUGACGCUGAGACUCGAAAGCAUGGGUAGCGAACAGGAUUAGAUACCCUGGUAGUCCAUGCCGUAAACGAUGAGUGCUAGGUGUUGGAGGGUUUCCGCCCUUCAGUGCCGGAGCUAACGCAUUAAGCACUCCGCCUGGGGAGUACGACCGCAAGG